rnacentral:rRNA from 1 species
UACGUAGGGGACGAGCGUUGUCCGGAAUUACUGGGCGUAAAGGGCGCGCAGGCUGUAGAUCAAGUCAGCUGUGAAAUGUCUGGGCUUAACCCGGGCAUGCGGUUGAAACUGAUGUACUGGAGUGCUGUAGAGGCAAGUGGAAUUCCCAGUGUAGCGGUGAAAUGCGUAGAUAUUGGGAAGAACACCGGUGGCGAAGGCGACUUGCUGGGCAGCAACUGACGCUGAGGCGCGAAAGCCAGGGGAGCAAACGGGAUUAGA